rnacentral:rRNA from 1 species
UACGGAGGGUGCGAGCGUUGUCCGGAAUCACUGGGCGUAAAGGGCGCGUAGGCGGCCUGAUAAGUAGGGGGGUGAAAUCCUGCGGCUUAACCGCAGGGCUGCCUUCUAAACUGUCAGGCUCGAGCACAGUAGAGGCAGGUGGAAUUCCCGGUGUAGCGGUGGAAUGCGUAGAGAUCGGGAAGAACAUCAGUGGCGAAGGCGGCCUGCUGGGCUGUUGCUGACGCUGAGGCGCGACAGCGUGGGGGAG